rnacentral:rRNA from 1 species
UACGUAGGGUGCGAGCGUUAAUCGGAAUUACUGGGCGUAAAGCGUGCGCAGGCGGUUUUGUAAGUCAGAUGUGAAAUCCCCGGGCUCAACCUGGGAACUGCGUUUGAAACUGCAAGGCUAGAGUAUGGGAGGGGGAGGUAGAAUUCCACGUGUAGCAGUGAAAUGCGUAGAGAUGUGGAGGAAUACCAAUGGCGAAGGCAGCCUCCUGGCCUAAUACUGACGCUCAUGCACGAAAGCGUGGGGAGCAAACAGG